ACCGCCUUAGCCCAGUUGGUAGUGGCAUCGGCAGUACAGAUAAGAUGCCGAAGGUCGCAGGUUCAAAUCCUGCCUGCGGUG